rnacentral:lncRNA from 1 species
GUCGAUCUGAAAAUGUUCUUAAUGACCUUCAUUCCCAGGAUCACAUUCAGUCUUUCCCUCUUGUUGUCAUCAGCAGAUAGGUCACUCAGUCCAGAAUUGGCCCUGGCUGCAGAAAGACUCGGGCUUUACAAUUCUAUAGGAAUACCAGGCAGUCGGGCUGAAAUGGGGAGGAAGAAAGCAUGACAAGAGAAGAAAGUGGCCAGGUCCAAGGAACUUGUUCAGCAUUGCUAGCUGCGGAAAAACUAUGUUCGUAUCACUUUUCCAGAGCCUUCGAUCAUGGAAUCUCUUCUGGGGACAGCCUGACCCUCCACAGAUAAGCUACUGGAACUCUCUGAGGGAAGUUUUGGCUCCUUUUUCUAGGAGGGAGGAUCCCUGAGAAGACCCGUGCAUGUUUGUCACGUUAGCUAUACCUACAGACCCAUCAGUCUGGCAUUGAAAUGAGCAGCCCACUCUUCCCUACCAGUUCACAAGCACCCAACGGCAGGGCCCCUGUGAAGGACAGUGCUCUCCCAGGGGACAGCGUUCAGCUUUGACUAGGGUUGAGCUGUCCUCUCUCCUCUGGCUCUCUAGUUCUAGUCUCCCUCCCUCCCUCUCUUGUACCCGCGCGUGCGCGCCCGCGCGCGCGCACUCACACACACACACACACACACACACACACGCACCCGCUCUCUCCCCCUACCGCUCGCGCUCUCCCCAGGCUUUGUCUGGAGGCUCCCGCCCGCUCCGUCUGCACCCCCCCCCCCCGGGCGUCCCGGUCCCCAGGCCCUGGGCGCGCAGGGGGACGUCGCGGCGCCACAGGCCUGGGGGACUGGACCGCGUCGAAGGCCGGAUGUGUGGGACGGGGCGAGACGGAGGCGCACAGCCCCAGAGAGUGAGAGUCCCCGCCGACAAGACAGUAGGCGACUCCGACCGCCAAAGACGCGAGUCAUUCCCACUGCAAACACCAGAGCGCGUCGGCCCGCCUUCCCCGCGGCCGCCCCCACUCCCCCGGCGCCACCGCGCGAACAAAAGCCGGCGGGCUCGGGGCGCUCCCCCUAGCGGCCGCUCCUCCCGCGGCGGCCCCGGCGCGGCCUUCCAGGGCUUUCUCGGCCUCCCGAGAACGCCCUCGCCACGCAGCCGCCCAGACGGGUGGCCGGCGCUGCGCCUUCCCUCUCUGGCCCUCCCAGGCGGUGCCCGUUUUGACGUACUUGUGAUCCAGGCAGAAAAGAAGCCUUCACAAGCCCACGUAUUUUCCUCAGUGAGUCAAAGAAAUAUUUAUGAUAUACUGAAACAGUUGAAGAAGUAUUCCGUUCAAAGUUCAGAGGGAGGAAACAGAGAAGCAGGAGACAAGAGCGGAGAGACAGCCCAGUCAGGUCACCACACUGCCCAGGAAACGGAAGCACACCUGAGAAGAUGUCCCCAUCCCUCCACCUGAGGCUUGUGUCGCAGAUGCAGCCAUAGCUGUGGAUCUCCCAGCAAUCCCUUCUUCAACUGCAACCCGAGCUAUGAACAGAGAGCGGGAGAGUACUGUGCCUGGGGCUGCUCCUCUCCUUGAGAAGACUUGCAGCAAUGCCAGGUGAGGGGACAGGAGGUACUGAGGGUGUGGUGGCAGAGGGAAGCAUUGUGGACCCAGGAGCAAUCCUGAAAUCUUUGAUCUGUGUUUGGCUCCGCUAGUCACUAGACUCCUGACAAGCAGAUUUCAGGGUUCUGUAGGUUGAAACAUAGCAAUUCCACACUUGGGAGGGAACUGCUAUUUUAUUGCCCCAAUUAACUGGUUUAUUUGUUUAUAAAUUCUUCCCUUUUCUGUUUUAUGAUGCAGUUGUGGUGUGUUUAAUGGAACUGCAAGAUUAAGACUGGCAAGAUGACUGCAUGUUAUGUUUCCAAAGCUAAUAAAUGGUUUGAAUCCAGAA